GGGUUGUGAGGUUAAGCGACUAAGCGUACACGGUGGAUGCCCUGGCAGUCAGAGGCGAUGAAGGACGUGCUAAUCUGCGAUAAGCGUCGGUAAGGUGAUAUGAACCGUUAUAACCGGCGAUUUCCGAAUGGGGAAACCCAGUGUGAUUCGUCACACUAUCAUUAACUGAAUCCAUAGGUUAAUGAGGCGAACCGGGGGAACUGAAACAUCUAAGUACCCCGAGGAAAAGAAAUCAACCGAGAUUCCCCCAGUAGCGGCGAGCGAACGGGGAGGAGCCCAGAGCCUGAAUCAGUGUGUGUGUUAGUGGAAGCGUCUGGAAAGGCGCGCGAUACAGGGUGACAGCCCCGUACACAAAAAUGCACAUGCUGUGAGCUCGAUGAGUAGGGCGGGACACGUGGUAUCCUGUCUGAAUAUGGGGGGACCAUCCUCCAAGGCUAAAUACUCCUGACUGACCGAUAGUGAACCAGUACCGUGAGGGAAAGGCGAAAAGAACCCCGGCGAGGGGAGUGAAAAAGAACCUGAAACCGUGUACGUACAAGCAGUGGGAGCACAGAGCAAUCUGUGUGACUGCGUACCUUUUGUAUAAUGGGUCAGCGACUUAUAUUCUGUAGCAAGGUUAACCGAAUAGGGGAGCCGAAGGGAAACCGAGUCUUAACUGGGCGUUAAGUUGCAGGGUAUAGACCCGAAACCCGGUGAUCUAGCCAUGGGCAGGUUGAAGGUUGGGUAACACUAACUGGAGGACCGAACCGACUAAUGUUGAAAAAUUAGCGGAUGACUUGUGGCUGGGGGUGAAAGGCCAAUCAAACCGGGAGAUAGCUGGUUCUCCCCGAAAGCUAUUUAGGUAGCGCCUCGUGAAUUCAUCUCCGGGGGUAGAGCACUGUUUCGGCAAGGGGGUCAUCCCGACUUACCAACCCGAUGCAAACUGCGAAUACCGGAGAAUGUUAUCACGGGAGACACACGGCGGGUGCUAACGUCCGUCGUGAAGAGGGAAACAACCCAGACCGCCAGCUAAGGUCCCAAAGUCAUGGUUAAGUGGGAAACGAUGUGGGAAGGCCCAGACAGCCAGGAUGUUGGCUUAGAAGCAGCCAUCAUUUAAAGAAAGCGUAAUAGCUCACUGGUCGAGUCGGCCUGCGCGGAAGAUGUAACGGGGCUAAACCAUGCACCGAAGCUGCGGCAGCGACGCUUAUGCGUUGUUGGGUAGGGGAGCGUUCUGUAAGCCUGUGA
rnacentral:rRNA from 1 species